rnacentral:rRNA from 1 species
UUUAAAUUUAUUUAUUUAUUUAAAUUAAAUAUAUAUGUAUAUAUAUAUAUUAAAAAUAGUUAUAAAAUUAAAUUUUUUAGUAUUAAUUAAAGAAAAAAUAUUAUUAAUUAUAGUUUAUUAGUAUUGAUAAAGAAAAUUGAAAUAAUUAUGAAAAAUUUUAAUUUAAUAAGAAAAAUUAAUUUUUUGUACCUUGUGUAUCAGGGUUUAUUAAAUAAAAUUUAAUUAAGAUAAAUUUCUCGAUUUUAAAAGAUUUAAUAUAUUAUGGAAUAUAAAGUAAUAAAUUUAUUUUUAAUAAUAUAUUUGAAAUGAAAUGUUAUUCGUUUUUAAAGGUAUCUAGUUUAUUAAGAAAUAAAUUUAAUUUAUAAAUUUUAUAUUAUUUAUUUUAUUUUUAAAAUAAAUAAAUAUUUAAUUUAAAUAUUUUAUGGGAUAAGCUAUAAAAUAAAUUUUUAAAAAUAUUAAUGUUAAUUAUGUAAAAUAUAGGGUUAAAAUUAUUCAUUAUUUAAAAAAAUGUAAUAAUUUAUUAUAUAAUAAAAAAAAUUUAUUAAAUUUUAAUUAUUUAUUAAUAUAUAUUUUAAAAUUUAAAAAAAUUAAUAAUAAUGAUAAAAUUAGUAUAAAUUUUUGUAAGAAUAUAUUUAUUUUAUAAUUUUUUUUAAAGAAUUCGGCAAAUUAAUAUAUUCACCUGUUUAACAAAAACAUCUCUUUAUGAUUAAAUAUAAGGUUUAACCUGCCCACUGAAUUUUUAAAUGGCUGCAGUAUAUUGACUGUACAAAGGUAGCAUAAUCAUUAGUUUUUUAAUUGAAAACUGGAAUGAAUGGUUGGAUGAAAUAUAAACUGUUUCAAUUAAAUUAAAUUAAAAUUUUAUUUUUUAGUAAAAAAGCUAAAAUAAUUUUAAAAGACGAGAAGACCCUAUAAAUCUUUAUAUAAAUUAUAAAUAUUAAAUUAUUUAGAAGAUUAUAAAAUAUUUAUUUUUUAUAUUUUAUUGGGGAGAUAAUAAAAUUUAAAAAACUUUUAUUAAAAAAAUUCAUUGAUUUAUGAAUUUUUGAUUAAUUAUUAAUGAAUGAUAAAAUAAGUUACUUUAGGGAUAACAGCGUAAUUAUUUUGGAGAGUUCAUAUUGAUAAAAUAGA